CGGUGGUUUUGUAAAGCUGCUGAGGGAGAGCGAGUGUGUGAGUGGAUGAAAAGAGGGCAAAGGAAAGAGUACAACUGGGGGAGAUGCUGCCAGGGAGAGGCUGGUGGGAGGGGUCACAGCAGGACGGGGUGCAUCCGUGGCCCCCCCACCGGGCCUCAGGACAAUGCUUUUGAUGACUAGAUCUAGAAGAAUGAUGGCCAGUGGAUGGAAAUAGCAGUUUAGAAAAGAAAUGAGUAGACUGAUGUCUUCAGGGCUUACUGGUAAAUCAUCUUUCUAAGAGUAGAGCUCCUUUUGAAAAUCUUUUUUUUUUUUUAAACAAAAUAUGUGCUGGUUGCUACAGAUUCAGUCAGGGUAAGCAUAAAUAAAGGUGAAAAUUCCCAUUCCUCUCUCCAGUCCCUCUUUCUUCCACUGCCACUAAUAGUUUGACAUAUGUCCUUGCAAUAGUUUUCAGUGUCUUUAGAGAUUACAUAUAUAUCUAUAUAUAUAAAAUGUUAAAAUGCAUAUCUUGUCUUGCGACAUUCUUAUAAAGUUAACAGCAGAGUUCUCUUUGUAUAAGUAUGCCUCAUAUUUUUUAUUUUUAUAUUUUUGUAUAAAUGUAGCAUUUAUUUAUUCUCCUUUUUCCUAUAUCCAGUCUGCUUUACAAAGAGUGCUGCAUUGAAUAUCUUUGUCCGUUUAUCUUUGUCCACUUCCGUGAGUAUUCCCAUGGCAGCACUGCCCAGUAGAACUUUCUGUGGUGAUGAAAAUGAGGUAUGUCUGCACUGUCCCACACGGCAGCCACCAGCCAUGCGAAGCUGUUGAGCACUUGAAAUGUAAGUAGGUCGGUGGAAGAACUCAGUUUCAUUUAAAUUACUUUUAAAAUUGAAUAGCCACAUAUACAGUAGGGGCUGUUGUGUGAGAGGUGCAGGUCUACAGGAUCGGUCUCUGGAAGUGAGAUUGCUGAGUCAUAGGUUGUGCACAUUAGAUAAGUAGUACAAAAUCGCCCUUCAGAAAUUUUGUACCAAUCUGUGUUUCUGCCAAUGGUGGUGAAGAGUACCCAUUCCCCAUAUCCGCAAAAACGCUGAAUGUUAUCAGACUUCAAGAUUUUUACCAGUUUUAGAGGUGAAAAAUGAUACCUUGCUUUAAUUGCAUCUCCCUAAUGGCCAGUGAGAUGGAGCUGUUUUCGUUAUGUUUACUAAUCAUUUGUAAUUCUCUGAUUUGCCUAUUCAAGUUCCUUGCUCAGCUUCCAAAUGAGUCAUCUUAAAAACAACUGGACACGAUUGCUUUUGGAAAAUUUCAGUGCUGCAAGGUAUUUCCCUACCACCACCAAAGAUUAUCUUUACUAGAAUCCAAAUUCCAACCACUGCUUCUUAUGUCAGAAGAUAUCUGGGAUACCAGCCACAUGACACAGUUUUAUCGUCUCACUGUCUUUGUGGGUUGAACCGCCAUUACAGGAGAUUAAGUAUAACAGAAAAGGAAAAGGGAAUGAGGGGCGUAAACGACAAAUUCCUUCUGUGUUGUUGACACCUGUAUCUUCCAGGGAGAGCUCUGUGCAGCCUGAACGGGGAUGGGACGCUGAGCUGGGCUGGCGGCUGCACCGGGAGUUCCUCGCGUUAGAGGGGUGUGGCUGUGGACGUGUCUCUUCAGUCUGGUGGUGUUUAGGGGCGGUGGACGGAAAUGAUGGUGCUGGGGCAUGACGAGGUGCAAGGAACUGCUGCUGAGAUGCUCCCCUAAUCAACUGCUUCGUUACCUACCUGAUGAGGUUGGUUGUGCUUACGGCCUGAGUCAGAUGGGAAGGAGAUUGCUGUAGGUCGGUGCCUUUUCCUUCCUUGCGCUCUCCCUUUGAAGUGAUGUGUUCUUACAGCGUUAAGGAGCCAGACUUUGUGUUGAUCCAGUAACCCGGACAUGAACGUAGGGACGUGAAGUUCAGCCUUUAUUCCGCAGUUUUACUGACUCAUAUUGCUGGCUGGACUGUGUUCUGAGUACCCUCGUCAUUAGGUUGUAGCAGAAAGGAAAGCACAUUUCUUGAGCUUCUGUGCCAGGCCCUGUCCUGGUCACCUACGUGACGUAAUCUGCUGGCUGCUCACACAAACAGCUUGGAGCACAGUCGCCCGGGAGAGGAAGCCAUGCCAGGGGUCCUGGGACAGACGUCUUCCGUGUGGUUUCUCAUGUGGAAAUUCUCAGUACUAGCUCUUCUCUCCUGUAAAAUGCACCUGAGCAAUUCCCCCCUCCGCUGCCGCCCCCGUCUCUCCAGUUUAGCCUUGUAACUCCUGUGGCCACUCAUUUAUCUGAUCUUAUUUAAUUUGAAAAAUCGGUCCAUUCAGGACCCCGCUGGGAUCCACAUUCUUGAGCCUUACCCUCGAGGUAGCUUAUUUGCCCUUCAGUGCAGCCUGGGAGCAGAGAACCAACAUUCUGGUUUAGACGCGUCUGAUGUCAGGUGGUUCUUUGAUUCGGUGGCUCCAUGCCUGGGAAUUUGCCUUAAGGAAAUCAUCAGAGAUGCACACAGAUUGAUGUACCGGGUUUCUCACUGCAGUGUUCUUUAUAAUAGAGACAAAUUGAUAACUGUUCAAACGGGGAUGAUGAAAUGAACGGGGAAUGACGGUAUGUCUCUCCAUUAAGCAGAAUAUUACUCAGCCAUCAAAAAUCAUGUUUCUGAGGAGUAAGAAUCAUUGAGGAUUGUUCACAAUGUUACACAGAGAAAGCAAGGUAAAAAAACUAAUCUCAGUUUUAUUUAAGAAAAAUGUUUAUGCAAAUAUAGGAGAAAAGACUCCAGAAUAUUAAUGUUCAUUACCUCAGGAAGGUGGAAUCAUAACUAAUUUUUAUUUGUUUUAUGUUUUACUACAAUUUUUCUGGUUUUCUAAAGUGAAUUUCUUAUUUCUGUAACCAGGGGCAAGUUCUUCUAAUCAGUGUUAUUGUGAAAAAGGCAGAGGGCUCCUCGCAGGCCACAGCAGGCAGCGUAUCUGGCAGUGGAGAUGGACUCCUGCUGCAGAGACUGCAGGAGCUUCCUUCUGAAGCUCCUCAUGCUCCACGGAGCUGGGUUUUUGAGCUGCUUGAGCAAGAAGGGAGAUGUGAUGUGCGUUCCUGCUGCGUCCUCAGCUCUGGACGUGUGAGCUGCGGCCCCAACUCCCCUGAGUCUGGCUGACUUAAGAGCGAAGAGGGAAGACCGAGCAGAGUGUGACGGUCCCUUUAACAAAGGUCCCAUGGGGGACCAGCCCUGCUGGCAGACGGCUCAUCACCGAAGGCUCGGUGUGUGCGAACGCACGGCAAUUUCGGGAUGCCGGGCUCUGCAGGUCGUUCUUUCCUUUUCUCCCUCAUGUGUAUUUUCUGCACAAACGUGUACUAGUAGUAAAAUAAGAGAAACAAAGGUAUUUGAAAAAUAGAAGUAAACAAAUCAUAGCUUUUAUUUUUGUGGAAACUCAAUAAGAAACAUUAUAUAGGUAUUUAGAAAAAGACUUCAGAGGCAAAACUUUUGAGGGGCAUGUUUUUAUUAUAAAUGUAAUAUGGUUGAUUAAUGAAAAAUCACAAUGAAGUACCGAGAAAAUGUUUGUCAAUAUAAAAGUUUUAGCAGCAUUUCCAUAGUUUCAGGCUCUAGCAUUAGUCACACUUCCUCCCGCUAUUGAAAAAGAAGACGCCAGUGGGGCUCCAGCAGAACAUCGCACCGCUCCACUUAGUGAAGGCCUCAAGGAAAUCCUCAAGUCCAGUGUAUGUGUAACAGCUCAGCCCUCCCCACUCCUGAGCUUCCAGAAUGUCAAAGCACUUGCCUCCAUGUCUGAGGUCAGAGGUCCAUCCUUCAGGCUGCAGGGGAGGAGGGGGUGGAAAUUUAAACCGGACUUGAUAAUGUAGUGCUCGAUCACGCGUCCUCGCCGCUGUACCUUCUCUACACUGGCGACAACGAAGGGCCAAGAUCUGGCACGGGGCAGCGGUGGCAGCGUGGUGGCGGGGAGGGGGACCGGAAGUGGGAGGUGCACAUGUGGGGGGCUGGUGCCUCACCAUACACCCUGCUCCAGGGCAGCUCAGAGCAUGGUGCUCCUGCCGCCUCCCAGGCUCAUGGCAGGAUUAGUGAGAAGGGGAGACAAACAGUAUGAAAAUAGAAUACUGGCAAACUAUUCCCCUGCUUCUUUGGUACUCUCCAAACUUCUCUGAUCAAAAAAGGAUAAGGGAAGCACACCAUUAAAAAAAUUACAGUUUUAAGUAUUUACAGAAGCCAUUAUGAUAUAUUACAUAAUCAAUACACAGUAUAUGAACAAAUUCUUCAGUGAAAGCACUUGUGAACUCCUGUUCCAGUAUUCAAUAGCACAGACACGCAUACACCUUCCCAAAUGGGUAUCAUCCAUCCUGUAUCUCACUUACGUUACAGUAUAUUAAAUGGGAAAAAAAUACCGUUUUCCAAUCUACAUUUUCCUUUUCAAAGGUUCUUAAAAUUUGCCACUGAAAUCAGUAUGUACAAAGAUUUGUUGAAUAUCGAAUUCUAGGCAAGUGUCUCCACUCCCAUUUCGAGUAUGUCUGAAAUAGCACUACCUAUUAUUCUAUGUAUACCAUAUAUAUUUAAUAUAUAAGUAACCGCACCAUGUUAUAUCACCACGAUACCAGUUUAG